GGACGAACCGCAACAACAAUGCUCAGUUGUUCAUAUCUCUGUUUUCACCAUGCACUCAGUCGCCAAUGGAUUUGUCUUCGUGGUUCCGACGCAGCCUCUUAAGGAAGAGUGAAAAAACCAAAAACCCAGAUCCCUCUGAGCAAACUCUCCUGCCCCGAAGUGAAGAAGAAGAGCAACUGGGAGUCACAGAGGAACUGAUCGACCAUGUCAAGUCUUUCACUUUAGACACUUUCAAGAAUUUCCCUCUCCCAGAUGAUGAGGGAGCUGAAAAUUCUCCGACAACUUCGAGCAACACUCAAAAAGAUCUAUCUGAAUGGCAGGAAAAACAUGCCACUCUUGUGCUCUCAAAAGUGAAGGAACUUUCCCAUCUGAGAUAUAAACUAUGCCCGGGAUACUUGAAGGAGCAUCAAUUUUGGAGAAUAUACUUUCUGCUUGUAAAGAAACAAGUGGCUGACAUGAUAAGGAGUUAUCCCAACAAACAUUCAUGACUGAGUUUGUUCCUUAACAAAAAAUUCAUUCAAGAAUUAACGUGAUAAGAAGACUGCUUUGGAAUAAUGAAAGUUGCUUACUCAUACAACUAACUUUGAUACGAGCUGCGUGCCAUACAACUAGCAAGGCUGAAAGAAAUGGCAGUGGAGAAUGAGAAGUCUACAAAUUCCAUUGUACAUGAAGUUGAAAUGUCAGAGGCAAAGCAGGGAGCAAGCUUAGCCCUUCCAACUCCAUAGCUUUAUGCAUUUCUUUUUAGGAGUAGGAAUGUAUUGGCUAGUCGACUGACUGAUCCACUGAACAGAAACGUAUUGGAAAAAUGUAGAAUCGUUUAUGCAUUCUUUUUCUUUUUCUUUUUUUAACUGUGCAGACGAAAUAGUAGUUUCUUAACGGCUUUCAUAUUAGAGCUUCCCCAGUAAGGAUUUUAUGUUGA